rnacentral:rRNA from 1 species
GAUGAACGCUAGCGGCAGGCUUAAUACAUGCAAGUCGUGGGGCAGCGCAGGUAGCAAUACUGGGCGGCGACCGGCAAACGGGUGCGGAACACGUACACAACCUUCCGAGAAGUGGGGAAUAGCCCAGAGAAAUUUGGAUUAAUACCCCGUAACAUAACGAUGUGGCAUCACAUUGUUAUUAUAGCUUCGGCGCUUCUUGAUGGGUGUGCGGCUGAUUAGAUAGUUGGCGGGGUAACGGCCCACCAAGUCUACGAUCAGUAGCUGAUGUGAGAGCAUGAUCAGCCACACGGGCACUGAGACACGGGCCCGACUCCUACGGGAGGCAGCAGUAAGGAAUAUUGGUCAAUGGACGCAAGUCUGACAGCCAUGCCGCGUGAAGGAUUAAGGUCCUCUGGAUUGUAAACUUCUUUUAUCUGGGACGAAAAAAGGCGAUUCUUCGUCACUUGACGGUACCAGAUGAAUAAGCACCGGCUAACUCGUGCCAGCAGCCGACGG